rnacentral:tRNA from 1 species
AUUUGAAUAGCUUAAGUUAAAGUUUAAUAUUGAAAAUGUUAAGAUAGAAUUAUUCUUUCAAAUA